ACUCAUUUGGCAAUACUGUGUGUGUUUGGCGCUCUUUCUCUUGCUCUGGCUCUGGCUCUCGCUCUCGCUCUCUCUUGUGUGAAAUCGAUCUCGGGCAGUGAUUCCGCCUCUCUCUGCGCGCCUCAGAAUCCUUAACCCUAACAUUCUCGGUAAACAAACACCCCGCUGAAUCCUUGCAACCACUGCCAUCCCAGUUCAUUCGAAUCCAUACCCUCAUGGAAUCCAACAAGUCCAGAUUAAAAAACAAGAACAACAAGAAUAGGUUCUUGCUGUGCUUUAGACUGGUCACCAAGGACGGUCGGAGUCCGUUUAAAAGGUUUCGGCGUCCGGACGGACCGGGCCAACCAGCUUUCACUUACAUCGCUAUGGGAGAGACGGAGGGCAUAGUGUUCCCGAAGAUAUUGCCGCCGGAUUUGGCAGCGGAUAUAGAUAAAGAAGAAGGCGACGGUGGCCGAAGAGGGAAAAGAUCGAACGGCAGGCUAUCGAGAAUUUUGAAAUCGGUUUUGUCCGGGACGUCCUCGGGUUACUUCGUGUAUUCACCCUUGUCAGGAAAAUUUCGAACUAUGUAAAGCGCCCCCUCUUCACGGAUCGGAUAAUAGUGUACUUCGGCUUUGCCCAUAGGCUGGCCCCAAAGAAUUGUUUGCACUUAAAGAGAUUCGAACUUUAGACCUCAUGGACUACCACAAAGACCAAGGCUCUUACCACUUAAGCCAACCCCAAGGGGUUUAUACUUUAUUUACUUGUCAAUACCACUCCAUGCGUUUUAUUGUACUCUGCUUUCUUUCCUGCUUGCUCUCUGUUAAACUGAUAAUCCAUUGCAUACAUUGUCUUCAGAGGGCGAAGAGGAGUAGUAGAAGAAAUCCUGGACAAAGAUCUUUCGGGUUAGAGACAUCGAAAUAUCCAACGAAGAAGCAAAGUUUGUCCGAUAAUGAAAAGCUGAGAGUUAAUUCAAAUGAUUCUGAUACGAGGCGGCCUUUGCCAGAAACAUGCAACUCGUUUAAACCGAGGCGGGAUAAUGCCCAAAAGCACGGAAGUGAAGAUGGAGGUUGUUGUUUUAAUGCUGGCUUGUGUUUGCUUGUUUUUUGUCUUUUGCUUUUGCUUUUAUUUUUUAAUUUUUAAUUUUUUUAAUUUUAUUUCUUUUAUUCUUUUAUUCGUUUAUUCUUUUCCCGAUCCUUGGGAUUAUCCCACACAUGGCAUCUCUCUUUGACGAGAAGAUCAGUUUAGUUUUCUUUUCAAUGUAUGCAUGUACGUUUCAAUUUUCAAGAAAUGGAGUUGUAUAAAUAUAUUUCUCUAUUGAAAUCUAAGAAUGAAUUUGUUAACAACAACAAA